rnacentral:rRNA from 1 species
AACGAACGCUGGCGGCAUGCCUAACACAUGCAAGUCGAACGAGACCGCCGGGUCUUGUGGCGCACGGCUGCGUAAGGCGGGGGAAGCUGCCCUUAGGUUCGGAAUAACUCCCCGAAAGGGGUGCUAAUACCGGAUAAUGUCUUCGGACCAAAGAUUUAUUGCCUUUGGAUGGGCCCGCGUUGGAUUAGGUGGUUGGUAGGGUAAAAGCAUACUAAGGCGAGGAUGCAUAGCUGGUCGGGGAGGAUGAUCAGCCACGCUGGGACUGAGACACGGCCCCGACUCCUACGCGACGGAGGAGAGGAGAAUAUAGGACACGGGGGGAAGGCCUGAUACAGCAAUGCCGGGUAAGUGAUGCAGCGGGUAGGGUAGUAAUGCCCUUUUACCCGGGAUGAUAAUGACGGUACCGGGAAAAUAAGCACCGGCUAACUACGUG